rnacentral:rRNA from 1 species
GAUGAACGCUGGCGGCGUGCCUAAUACAUGCAAGUCGAGCGAACGGACGAGAAGCUUGCUUCUCUGAUGUUAGCGGCGGACGGGUGAGUAACACGUGGAUAACCUACCUAUAAGACUGGGAUAACUUCGGGAAACCGGAGCUAAUACCGGAUGAUAUUUUGAACCGCAUGGUUCAAAAGUGAAAGACGGUCUUGCUGUCACUUAUAGAUGGAUCCGCGCUGCAUUAGCUAGUUGGUAAGGUAACGGCUUACCAAGGCAACGAUGCAUAGCCGACCUGAGAGGGUGAUCGGCCACACUGGAACUGAGACACGGUCCAGACUCCUACGGGAGGCAGCAGUAGGGAAUCUUCCGCAAUGGGCGAAAGCCUGACGGAGCAACGCCGCGUGAGUGAUGAAGGUCUGCGGAUCGUAAAACUCUGUUAUUAGGGAAGAACAUAUGUGUAAGUAACUGUGCACAUCUUGACGGUACCUAAUCAGAAAGCCACGGCUAACUAC